rnacentral:rRNA from 1 species
AACGCGAAGAACCUUACCAAGCCUUGACAUCCCAAUGACCGGCGAGUAAAGUUGCCUUUCCUACGGGACAUUGGAGACAGGUGGUGCAUGGUUGUCGUCAGCUCGUGUCGUGAGAUGUUGGGUUAAGUCCCGCAACGAGCGCAACCCUUAUCUUUAGUAGCCAGCGGUUAGGCCGGGCACUCUAGAGAGACUGCCAGGGACAACCUGGAGGAAGGCGGGGAUGACGUCAAAUCAUCAUGCCCCUUAUGGCUUGGGCUACACACGUGCUACAAUGGCGGCAACAAAGUGAAGCAACCCAGCGAUGGUGAGCGAACCACAAAAAAACCGUCCCAGUUCGGAUUGUAGUCUGCAACCCGACUACAUGAAGCCGGAAUCGCUAGUAAUCGCGAAUCAGAAUGUCGCGGUGAAUACGUUCCCGGGUCUUGUACACACCG